UCAUCACAUCCUGGGGCUGAAGUAGGUCCCAAGGGUAUGGCUGUUCGCCAUUUAAAGUGGUACGCGAGCUGGGUUUAGAACGUCGUGAGACAGUUCGGUCCCUAUCUGCCGUGGGCGCUGGAGAACUGAGGGGGGCUGCUCCUAGUACGAGAGGACCGGAGUGGACGCAUCACUGGUGUUCGGGUUGUCAUGCCAAUGGCACUGCCCGGUAGCUAAAUGCGGAAGAGAUAAGUGCUGAAAGCAUCUAAGCACGAAACUUGCCCCGA
rnacentral:rRNA from 1 species